UACGUAGGGUGCAAGCGUUGUCCGGAAUUAUUGGGCGUAAAGAGCUCGUAGGCGGUCUGUCGCGUCGGAUGUGAAAAUCAGGGCUCAACCCUGGACCUGCAUUCGAUACGGGCAGACUAGAGUUCGGUAGGGGAGACUGGAAUUCCUGGUGUAGCGGUGAAAUGCGCAGAUAUCAGGAGGAACACCGGUGGCGAAGGCGGGACUCUGGGCCGAUACUGACGCUGAGGAGCGAAAGCGUGGGGGAGCAAACAGG
rnacentral:rRNA from 1 species